GACGAACGCUGGCGGCGUGCUUAACACAUGCAAGUCGAACGGAAAGGCCCUGCUUUUGUGGGGUGCUCGAGUGGCGAACGGGUGAGUAACACGUGAGUAACCUGCCCUUGACUUUGGGAUAACUUCAGGAAACUGGGGCUAAUACCGGAUAGGAGCUCCUGCUGCAUGGUGGGGGUUGGAAAGUUUCGGCGGUUGGGGGUGGACCCGCGGCGCGUCAGCUUGUUGGUGGGGUAGUGGCUUACCAAGGCCUCGACGGGUCGCCGGCCUGAGAGUGUGACCCGCCGCAUUGGGAGUGGGAGAGGGCCCAGAGGCCUACGGGAGGCAGCAGUGGGGAAUAUGGCGCAAUGGGCGGAAGCCGGAUGCAGCGACGCCGCGUGCGGGAUGACGGCCUUCGGGUUGGAAACCGCUUUCGCCUGGGACGAAGCGUGAGUGACGGUAAUGGGUAAAGAAGCACCGGCUAACUACGUG
rnacentral:rRNA from 1 species